rnacentral:rRNA from 1 species
UACGUAGGGGGCAAGCGUUGUCCGGAAUUAUUGGGCGUAAAGCGCGCGCAGGCGGCUGUUUAAGUCUGGUGUAUAAACCUGGGGCUCAACUCCGGGUCGCACUGGAAACUGGAUAGCUUGAGUGCAGAAGAGGAGAGUGGAAUUCCACGUGUAGCGGUGAAAUGCGUAGAUAUGUGGAGGAACACCAGUGGCGAAGGCGACUCUCUGGCUGUAACUGACGCUGAGGCGCGAAAGCGUCGGGAGCAAACAGG